AGAUUGAACGCUGGCGGCAUGCCUUACACAUGCAAGUCGAACGGCAGCACGGGAGCUUGCUCCUGGUGGCGAGUGGCGAACGGGUGAGUAAUAUAUCGGAACGUACCCUAGAGUGGGGGAUAACGCAGCGAAAGUUGCGCUAAUACCGCAUACGAUCUACGGAUGAAAGUGGGGGAUCGCAAGACCUCAUGCUCAUGGAGCGGCCGAUAUCUGAUUAGCUUAGUUGGUAAGGGUAAAGCCUACCGAAGGCUUCGAUCAGUAGC
rnacentral:rRNA from 1 species